rnacentral:rRNA from 1 species
UACGUGGGGGGCUAGCGUUGUCCGGAAUCAUUGGGCGUAAAGCGCGCGUAGGCGGCCAGAUAAGUCCGGUGUGAAAGCCACAGGCUCAACCUGUGAAUGCCGCUGGAAACUGUCUGGCUAGAGUCCGGGAGGGGCGAGUGGAAUUCCUGGUGUAGCGGUGAAAUGCGCAGAUAUCAGGAGGAACACCAAUGGCGAAGGCAGCUCGCUGGAACGGAACUGACGCUGAGGCGCGAAAGCGUGGGGAGCGAACAGG